rnacentral:rRNA from 1 species
UACGUAGGGUCCAAGCGUUAAUCGGAAUUACUGGGCGUAAAGCGUGCGCAGGCGGUUCGUUAAGUCAGCUGUGAAAGCCCCGGGCUCAACCUGGGAAUUGCGGUUGAAACUGGCGAACUAGAAUCUGGCAGAGGGGGUGGAAUUCCACGGUGUAGCAGGUGGAAAUGCGUAGAAGAUGUGGAGGAACACCGAUGGCGAAGGGCAGCCCCCUG